UGGGGAAUUUUGGACAAUGGGCGAAAGCCUGAUCCAGCAAUGCCGCGUGAGUGAAGAAGGCCUUCGGGUUGUAAAGCUCUUUUGUCAGGGAAGAAACGGUGAGGGCUAAUAUCCCUUGCUAAUGACGGUACCUGAAGAAUAAGCACCGGCUAACUACGUGCCAGCAGCCGCGGUAAUACGUAGGGUGCAAGCGUUAAUCGGAAUUACUGGGCGUAAAGCGUGCGCAGGCGGUUUUGUAAGUCUGUCGUGAAAUCCCCGGGCUCAACCUGGGAAUUGCGAUGGAGACUGCAAGGCUAGAAUCUGGCAGAGGGGGGUAGAAUUCCACGUGUAGCAGUGAAAUGCGUAGAGAUGUGGAGGAACACCGAUGGCGAAGGCAGCCCCCUGGGUCAAGAUUGACGCUCAUGCACGAAAGCGUGGGGAGCAAACA
rnacentral:rRNA from 1 species